rnacentral:rRNA from 1 species
CAGUCGCCACGGGAAUACGUAGGGUGCGAGCGUUAAUCGGAAUUACUGGGCGUAAAGCGUACGCAGGCGGUUAUAUAAGACAGAUGUGAAAUCCCCGGGCUCAACCUGGGACCUGCAUUUGUGACUGUAUAGCUAGAGUACGGUAGAGGGGGAUGGAAUUCCGCGUGUAGCAGUGAAAUGCGUAGAUAUGCGGAGGAACACCGAUGGCGAAGGCAAUCCCCUGGACCUGUACUGACGCUCAUGCACGAAAGCGUGGGGAGCAAACAGGAUUAGAUACCCCAGUAGUCCCUGUCUCUUAUAC